CUCUCCUUCCAGCAGCUUCCUGUAGGUGGCGAUCUCAAUAUCCAGAGCCAGUUUCAAGUUCAUCAGGUCCUGCAGGCGGCUGAUCAGUCGGUUGAUCUCGGCGAUCUCUCCCUUCACGAUGCGGAGCUCGUCCCCAAACUGGCUGGCCUGGACUGACAUUUGGUCAAACUGCAAACAGAAUAGCUGUGAAUGGCCUCUGCUUCCUCUCGACUGCGGGCUGCAAUCUCCUCAUACUGAGAUUUGACCUCAGCUACAAUCUGCUCCAUGUUCAGACUGCGGCUGUUGUCCAUCUGCACCACAACUGAGGUCCAUCUGGCGCCUCAGACCUGCCAUGUAGGCCUCAAACAGGGGUUCCACAUUAGAUCGGCUGACCCCCUGACCCUGCAGCAGCUCCAGUUUUGUCUCAAGCAUCUUAUUCUGCUGCUCCAGAUACCGUACCUGGUGAGGGAAGAGGACACAGAUCAUUUAGGAUUUUCUAAACACACAAUGAAGACUGCAAUCAUCAUCAGCAGCUCCAGAAUAACGCACAGAGGAAUGCCAUCACUCCAGCAGAUAACCAGCUCGAGCUCAGUGUCAACACCUGAAUAUAUUCCAGCCCUGUACUUGCCCGGCUCGUGUUUCCUGCCUGCAGCCAGGUACAUCCAGCGCCUAUUAUACCUUCCAACACAAAGCCUGUGUUCUGUUCAUGACAGAAUAACCUCCCUCUAAGACACAACCAUACGGUGUCUAGCCUGAUCUAUCAGGUUACAGAUUGAACUCAAUGGGACGGAAAUGGGACAGAUAGCUUGAAUAUCCAGCAUCCCAGUGCCAUACACUCAUGCAGUAAAUGACCAUUUAAUCCCAGAUGUUUAACUCCAACUUUGAUGUUCACUGACGUGCAGCUUUAACUGGAGUCAUCGUCUUACAACAAGUGAAACGUUGUCUUCCUGAUGCAUUUCACUAAUUACUUCUCUGCAUGAGAGAAGCAGCUCGCUAAUGUUUAAUUUAAAGAGUUCCUCCCAAGUAGGAUUGGAUGAUAGUCGUAACUGCAAGGUCAGUUUAUUUAUCAAUUCACUCAACUUUGCAUUUUAGUAAUUGUCAUAAUCAGUAAGGGGGUCAUUUUAGGCCUCCAGAUUUUAAUCCCAGGUUAAGCAGAAAUCCAAUCUUGGAUAAAUGAACAAAGAGGGGAAAACUGGGCAAGACAUUUUUUAAAAGCCAGGUUGACUCUCAUGAGUUUCUGCAUCUGAAGGUCUCUAAGGACAAGGACUCUUUGUGUGGGGGAAGUCACAUAAGCCAUCUCAUUUACGGAGACAAAUGGACAGUGUUUCCAAAUGUUUUCUAUGAACAUUCACAAUAUUUUGUCUUAUUCGGUAAAUAGACUGUCUGGUUUUAUUUUACAGCUCUGCAGAACUGCACAAAAUAUCAA